rnacentral:tRNA from 1 species
GCCUGGGUGGCUCAGUCAGUUGAGUGUCUGACUUCAGUCACAAUCUCACACAGUUCGUGGGUUCGAGCCCUGCCUCAGGCU